rnacentral:rRNA from 1 species
CCUACGGGUGGCAGCAGUGGGGAAUAUUGGACAAUGGGGGCAACCCUGAUCCAGCCAUGCCGCGUGUGUGAAGAAGGCCCUCGGGUUGUAAAGCACUUUCAGUGAGGAAGAACGCCUGGUGGUUAAUACCCAUCAGGAAAGACAUCACUCACAGAAGAAGCACCGGCUAACUCCGUGCCAGCAGCCGCGGUAAUACGGAGGGUGCGAGCGUUAAUCGGAAUUACUGGGCGUAAAGCGCGCGUAGGUGGCUUGAUAAGCCGGUUGUGAAAGCCCCGGGCUCAACCUGGGAACGGCAUCCGGAACUGUCAAGCUAGAGUGCAGGAGAGGAAGGUAGAAUUCCCGGUGGAGCGGUGAAAUGCGUAGAGAUCGGGAGGAAUACCAGUGGCGAAGGCGGCCUUCUGGACUGACACUGACACUGAGGUGCGAAAGCGUGGGUAGCAAACAGGAUUAGAUACCCUAGUAGUC